UACGUAGGGGGCAAGCGUUGUCCGGAUUUAUUGGGCGUAAAGAGCGUGUAGGCGGCCAUACAGGUCCGUUGUGAAAACUGGAGGCUUAACCUCCAGACGUCGAUGGAAACCGUAUGGCUAGAGUCCGGAAGAGGAGAGUGGAAUUCCUGGUGUAGCGGUGAAAUGCGCAGAUAUCAGGAAGAACACCCGUGGCGAAGGCGGCUCUCUGGGACGGUACUGACGCUGAGGAGCGGAAGCGUGGGGAGCAAACGGG
rnacentral:rRNA from 1 species